AGUUUAUAGCGGAAGCUAGAUUAUCGGCGGAAUUAUCGUUAUUAAAUAAAUGAAAAAGAAAAUGCCAUAAUUUUGAUGAUUUGAAGGAAUUGUUGAUAUGCAGAUAUAGAUAGAAUUAUCUUGGAAAUGACAAAACGAAAGAGAGCAACAAAAGACACCUCCCUAUCGGAGGAGAGCGAGGGCUCGAUGGGGGAUAGUGAGGCAGAGAGUGUCACAGAGGUCAGAGUCACAAGGAGAUCAGCGGCAGGCCUGACCUCUCCACCCACAUUACCACCACCAAAGAAAAAAAGAAAGACCAAUGCUUCAGAAUCCUUGUCGGAGUCUGAGAGUGAACUCCCACCCAGCAAAUCAAGUCG